ACCAGGCCGUUGGUUUUAAAAGUUGUUUUCCAAAACAACUCACAAAUUCCUUGAAAAUCAUCUAUAUAAAUCACUCCCCCUUCUCCUUCUCUAUUCACACAACCAAAGAAAAAACCUUGAGAAGUGUCUAUAAUCACUUUUGUUUUUUCUUAUUUACUCACCCAUUCUUCUAUUCACAUACAAAAAUAAAAUAAAUUCUUGAGAGACAUCUAUACAAAUCUUUCUCCUUCUCCAUUCUUUCUUCACUCAGUCUUCUCUUAAGGAAAAAAAAAAAGUUCUUGAGAGACCUUCUUUUCACAAAAAUGAUUCUUUUAUUUAAGUCACUCUUUUUUAUUUUUUAAGAUGGCACAAAAUAACAAUAUCAACAUAACAGUUCACACAGGUGAAAUGCGUCCCACAGGGCAUUCUAUUUUUUUUGGAGUAGAAAUAUGGUUUUUGAUGCAGCUGUUGAUGAAGCAUAGAAGCAAAACCAGUAGCUAAAAAGGGAGCAAAUAUGGAAUCAAUUGGUGUUUUUGUGAAAAAAAAUUCCGCUAUACUAGUAACUAAUCGUUCUAAUAUUUCUAUUCCUGUCUCUCUUAAUCCUAACCCUACUAAUAGUACGUUAUGUAAUAAUGCAUAACUAUUUAGUAUUUGAUAAAUUAAUGUCUUCUGCGAUAUAGACUUGAGUGUAUUGAAAGGGA